rnacentral:rRNA from 1 species
AUAAUGGGUCAGCGACUUAUAUUCUGUAGCAAGGUUAACCGAAUAGGGGAGCCGAAGGGAAACCGAGUCUUAACUGGGCGUUAAGUUGCAGGGUAUAGACCCGAAACCCGGUGAUCUAGCCAUGGGCAGGUUGAAGGUUGGGUAACACUAACUGGAGGACCGAACCGACUAAUGUUGAAAAAUUAGCGGAUGACUUGUGGCUGGGGGUGAAAGGCCAAUCAAACCGGGAGAUAGCUGGUUCUCCCCGAAAGCUAUUUAGGUAGCGCCUCGUGAAUUCAUCUCCGGGGGUAGAGCACUGUUUCGGCAAGGGGGUCAUCCCGACUUACCAACCCGAUGCAAACUGCGAAUACCGGAGAAUGUUAUCACGGGAGACACACGGCGGGUGCUAACGUCCGUCGUGAAGAGGGAAACAACCCAGACCGCCAGCUAAGGUCCCAAAGUCAUGGUUAAGUGGGAAACGAUGUGGGAAGGCCCAGACAGCCAGGAUGUUGGCUUAGAAGCAGCCAUCAUUUAAAGAAAGCGUAAUAGCUCACUGGUCGAGUCGGCCUGCGCGGAAGAUGUAACGGGGCUAAACCAUGCACCGAAGCUGCGGCAGCGACGCUGAUGCGUUGUUGGGUAGGGGAGCGUUCUGUAAGCCUGUGAAGGUGUGCUGUGAGGCAUGCUGGAGGUAUCAGAAGUGCGAAUGCUGACAUAAGUAACGAUAAAGCGGGUGAAAAGCCCGCUCGCCGGAAGACCAAGGGUUCCUGUCCAACGUUAAUCGGGGCAGGGUGAGUCGACCCCUAAGGCGAGGCCGAAAGGCGUAGUCGAUGGGAAACAGGUUAAUAUUCCUGUACUUGGUGUUACUGCGAAGGGGGGACGGAGAAGGCUAUGUUGGCCGGGCGACGGUUGUCCCGGUUUAAGCGUGUAGGCUGGUUUUCCAGGCAAAUCCGGAAAAUCAAGGCUGAGGCGUGAUGACGAGGCACUACGGUGCUGAAGCAACAAAUGCCCUGCUUCCAGGAAAAGCCUCUAAGCAUCAGGUAACAUCAAAUCGUACCCCAAACCGACACAGGUGGUCAGGUAGAGAAUACCAAGGCGCUUGAGAG